rnacentral:rRNA from 1 species
UACGGAGGGGGCGAGCGUUAUUCGGAAUUAUUGGGCGUAAAGGGCGCGUAGGCGGCAUGGUAAGUCAAAGGUGAAAUCCCUCGGCUCAACUGAGGAAUUGCCUUUGAAACUGCCAAGCUUGAGGCCGGGAGGGGGUAGCGGAAUUCCCAGUGUAGCGGUGAAAUGCGUAGAUACUGGGAGGAACACCGGUGGCGAAGGCGGCUACCUGGACCGGAUCUGACGCUGAUGCGCGAAAGCGUGGGGAGCAAACAGGAUUA